GGCAGACGGGUGAGUAACAUGUAGGUAUCUGCCCUUUGGCCUGGAAUAACACGAGGAAACUUGUGCUAAUACUGGAUAAGUCUUUACGGAGAAAGCUUUAUGCACCAUUGGAUGAGCCUGCACUUGAUUAGUUUGUUGGUGGGGUAAUGGCCUACCAAGACUGUGAUCAAUAGCUGAUUUGAGAGGAUGAUCAGCCACAUUGGGACUGAGACACGGCCCAAACUCCUACGGGAGGCAGCAGUGAGGAAUCUUGCACAAUGGAGGAAACUCUGAUGCAGCGAUGCCGCGUGAGUGAAGAAGGCCCUUGGGUUGUAAAGCUCUUUCGUCGGGGAAGAAAAUGACUGUACCCGAAUAAGAAGGUCCGGCUAACUUCGUGCCAGCAGCCGCGGUAAUACGAAGGGACCUAGCGUAGUUCGGAAUUACUGGGCUUAAAGAGUUCGUAGGUGGUUGAAAAGUUAGUGGUGAAAUCCCAGGGCUUAACUCUGGAACUGCCAUUAAAACUUUUCAGCUAGAGUAUGAUAGAGGAAAGCAGAAUUUCUAGUGUAGAGGUGAAAUUCGUAGAUAUUAGAAAGAAUACCAAUUGCGAAGGCAGCUUUCUGGAUCAUAACUGACACUGAGGAACGUAAGCAUGGGUAGCGAAGAGGAUUAGAUACCCUCGUAGUCCAUGCCGUAAACGAUGUGUGUUAGACGUUGGAAAUUUAUUUUCAGUGUCGCAGCGAAAGCGAUGAACACAC
rnacentral:rRNA from 1 species